rnacentral:lncRNA from 1 species
UAUCACAACCAGAUAGAACACAAGUAUGCAUUAUAUCACAUAUAAGUAGAACAAGGGGAAACAUACAUAUACAAGAUCAUCAAAUACAAGUAAAAAAAAAUAAGAUAAUUACAUAAAGGGCAAGUCAAUAUGGCAAUACAACACAAUAUAAACACAAUAAAGUAAGUGCAAUGUAUAUGAUGAUGAUGAUGAUAAUGAUGCACGAGGUCAUCGUACAACCUCUAAGAUCAUUGCACAAUCCCCGUAUACACCUAUGGAGGAAAGCCUCCCAAUGCAGGACCCAUGGGGGGUUUGUCAACCCAUAUACAAUCCACAUAUCUCCUAUCUCCUUU